rnacentral:lncRNA from 10 species
CUCUGGUGGUUUAGUUGGCCUCAGAUUCAGUUGUGGCUCAUGUUUUAUUAAUGUGGUGAGAUUGUCUUUUAUUUUCAGCCUCCCACAGCAGGUGAGCUUGUCAUAUUCACUAAGAGAGAACGAGAGAAGAUUGCCCACCACUUGCGUGAAUUGUUUCCACAGUUCUUAAUUUCUGCUGAGAGGCAGGCAAUAUAAACAAAGUUUUACUUAACUGCUGGAACAUUUGUCAAGGAUUUGAUACACGCAAACCUCCAUUUUUAUGCCGCGCUAUGAAAAUGCUGCAGUGUUGCUCCUCUGAGUAACCCUGUGCGUGCCAAGCAGUGUCUCAGAAUUAAGGUAAGACAAUUGAAUGUCUGAGAGCUGAAAUUUCACUUUUAGUGAGAAACAGGGCUUAAUUUGAACUCAGCCCUAUCUGAUCACAUGACUCUGCUCUGCUAGAUAGAAGAAGGAUAUUGUACCAGAAGAGUGAGUGAAACCUAACCUUACUUAGAGUGAAUGGUUUCUCCAAAAAAGAGAACCAGUAAAAGGGAGAAAGGAUUUGUAGAAGAAGAAGACAAUUGUGGCCUACUUAAGAAUGUUUAUAUGUUUUUUAACUUUUAAAACAAACACUCAGAUCAUUAACUUUGCCGUUGUUUCUAAAUACUGAAGAAUAAUCAUCAAAUAGUAGUCGGAUCUCCAGGUAAAAGCGAUGUCAUUAUGGACAUGUGGUUUUUCAGAGGCUAUUAAUUUUUGUUUCAGUGAAAAACCACAUUUAUACAGUAAAUCAUUUUUCCCAUUUAAGUUCUGUUCACUAUAAUAUAAAUAUUGUGUAAGACCUGUUAUGAGAGUGCUUAAUAAACAUUAAAAAUUGGUUUCACUUUGAUGUUCUGAGACUGCAUAAGAUAAACUCUUUAUUGAUUUAUUAACCAGCUUUCACUGGACCAGUGGCCUUAGGACAGGCUUACAGGAAACUUUGUCACAUCACUCUAGGAGCACACAACAGCUGAGACACAGUUUCACUAUAAAGAUAAGG